rnacentral:hammerhead_ribozyme from 1 species
AGCCGAAACCGCCAGGGGCUGGCGGUCUGCGGGGGAUGACCUCCCCACACUGACGAUGGCAGGUCAAA